rnacentral:lncRNA from 1 species
UGGAUUACUUUCUCUAAGUUCAGUAGCAUAUGCCUCAAGUUUAUUGUAGCCAUCUGUAAAACUUCCUUGUAGUUUCUCUAAAAUCUCUCUUUUAGCCCUUUUACACUUUCCAUAACUGACAUUUGUAUUAAAAACAUUUUUGAUAUCUGCUCUCAUCUCAUUAAUCUUAUACAUAGGGUUAUCUUGCAAAUUUUUCUUGAAAUAAAGUGCAAUUGUAUGAUGAUCAACCCUGCUAUUAUCAAAUACGUCAUCACAUUCAUGGUUUGGGUUUAGUGUCUUUAUCCUAACACCUGGAAGGUCUCCAUCCC